rnacentral:rRNA from 1 species
CAGCAGCCGCGGUAAUACGAAGGGGGCUAGCGUUGCUCGGAAUCACUGGGUGUAAAGGGAGCGCAGGCGGUCUGGCAAGUUGAGAGUGGAAGCAGGGGGCUCAACCCCCUGACUGCUCCCAAAACUGUUGGACUGGAGUAUGGGAGAGGCAGGCGGAAUUCCUAGUGUAGCGGUGAAAUGCGCAGAGAUAUGGAGGAACACCAGUGGCGAAGGCGACUUUCUGGUCUGUAACUGACGCUGAUGUGCGAAAGCGUGGGGAUCAAACAGGAUUAGAUACCCCAGUAGUCCCUGUCUCUUAUAC